CGAGUGAGGGAGGGGGUGACUAGUGACAGAGUAAGAGAUGGAGGUGGUGACUAGUGACAGAGUGAGGGAGGGAGUGACUAGUGACAGAGGGAGGGAGGGAGUGACUAGUGACAGAGGGAGGGAUGGGGUGACUAGUGACAGUCACCACCUCCUUCACUCUGUCACUGUGUCACCCCCUUCCUCACUCUGUCACUGUGUCACCUCUUCCUCACUCUGUCACUAGUCACCCACUCCCUCCCUCACUCUGUCACUAGUCACCCCCUCUCACUCUUUCACUAGUCACCCCCUCUCUCACUCUGUCACCAGUCAUUCCUUCACUCUGUCACCAGUCAUCCCUUCCUUCCCUCACUC